rnacentral:rRNA from 1 species
AUUGAACGCUGGCGGCAGGCCUAACACAUGCAAGUCGAACGAGUGGCGGACGGGUGCGUAAUGUCUGGGAAACUGCCUGAUGGAGGGGGAUAACUACUGGAAACGGUAGCUAAUACCGCAUACCAUCUGAUGUGCCCAGAUGGGAUGUGCUAGUAGGUGGGGUAAAGGCUCACCUAGGCGACGAUCCCUAGCUGGUCUGCGAGGAUGACCUGCCACACUUGAACUGAGACACGGUCCAGAUUCCUCCGGUAGGCAGCAGUGGGGAAUAUUGCACAACGGGCGCAAGCCGGAUGCAGCUAUGCCGCGUGUAUGAAGAAGGCCUUCGGGUUUGAAAGUACUUUCUGCGGGGAGGCGUUACCCGCAGAAGAAGCACAGGCUAACUCCGUGCCAGCCGCCGCGGUAAUUC